GAUGAACGCUGGCGGCGUGCCUAAUACAUGCAAGUCGAGCGAAUGGAUUAAGAGCUUGCUCUUAUGAAGUUAGCGGCGGACGGGUGAGUAACACGUGGGUAACCUGCCCAUAAGACUGGGAUAACUCCGGGAAACCGGGGCUAAUACCGGAUAACAUUUUGAACCGCAUGGUUCGAAAUUGAACGGCGGCUUCGGCUGUCACUUAUGGAUGGACCCGCGUCGCAUUAGCUAGUUGGUGAGGUAACGGCUCACCAAGACAACGAUGCGUAGCCGACCUGAGAGGGUGAUCGGCCACACUGGGACUGAGACACGGCCCAGACUCCUACGGGAGGCAGCAGUAGGGAAUCUUCCGCAAUGGACGAAAGUCUGACGGAGCAACGCCGCGUGAGUGAUGAAGGCUUUCGGGUCGUAAAACUCUGUUGUUAGGGAAGAACAAGUGCUAGUUGAAUAAGCUGGCACCUUGACGGUACCUAACCAGAAAGCCACGGCUAACCACGUGCCAGCAGCCGCGGUAA
rnacentral:rRNA from 1 species